AUGGCGACCUCCAUCGCUGACAAGAGCAACGGCCGUGUCAACCACCGUACAAUGAAUCAAUUCAGGCGCUUCAUUGCCGACUCGGCCUUGCGCGAUAUCUACCUCCAUGGCCGAAGAUUCACUUGGUCCAACGAGCAAGACAACCCCACGCUCGUGCGCAACGAUCGUGUUCUAUGCACACCCUCGUGGGAAAUCAACAACCCCAACCACAUGCUCCAUUGCCUCGCUUCGGCGGCCUUCGACCACUGUCCACUCAUCCUUGACUGUUCUCCCCGCGAGCGCGGCCGGCCGCGCUUCCACUUCGAGCGAUUUUGGACCAAGCUUGAGGGCUUCCACCAUACCGUUUCCACGGCCUGGCACUCCGAGGAGCCCGACCCGGACCCAUUCCGGCGAAUCUACGCGCGCCUAAAGGCUACGGCGCGCGCGCUCAGGAGCUGGAGCUCGCGCUCGCUCGGCGACAUCUCUACGCAGCUCCUGGUUUCCCGCGAACUUAUAUAUCGCCUCGACCUGGCACAAGACAAGCACACUCUUUCUGCCAGUGAAGCCUGGCUCCGGCGGGAGCUCAAACGCAAGUACUUGGGUCUGGCCUCUCUUGACCGCUCCAUUGCUCGUGAGCGGGCUCGCUUCUCCUGGCUCAAGGAGGGAGACACCAAUACGGCAUUCCUCAAAAUCCACACCGCUCAUCGACGCCAAAAGAGCCACAUGACAGGGCUGCAUCAGGACGGCCACUUUGUCAGCGAUCUUCCUGGCAUGGCUCGGGCUGCGUUCGACCACUUCACUGCCACCAUUGGAUCCCAGUCCACGCGUGAUCACGCGCUCAACCUGCGCCUGUUCGAUCAACGCUGCUUCGACCUGCUACCGCUUGAUGAGCCUUUUUCCGAGGACGAGAUAUGGAAUGCAAUCAAGGCCCUGCCGCUUGGCAAGGCGCCGGGACCGGACGGCUUCAUGGCGGAAUUCCUACGCUCGUGUUGGGCCAUCGUCAAAGACGACAUAUGUGCCGCUUUCGACAAACUCUACACUAUGAAGGGCAUGGGAUUUCGCAAACUCAAUGAGGCUCUACUCAUCCUACUGCCCAAGAGACAAGAUGCAUCGACCCUCGCGCAUUACCGGCUGAUCAGUCUUAUACACCUCAUUGCCAAGCUCUUCGCCAAAGUCCUCUCCCUCCGGCUAGCGCCGCGUCUCCGGGAGAUGGUGUCCAUGAACCAAAGUGCGUUCAUCGCCGGAAGGAGUGCGCAUGAUAACUUUCUUCUCGUCCAACAAAUGGCCCGGCUCCUCCACAACCUCAAGGCACCGCGCGUUCUUCUUAAAUUGGACAUCGCCAAGGCAUUCGACAUGGUGGCGUGGCCAUUCCUCCUCGAGACGCUUCGACACUUGGGGUUUGGCAUGCGUUGGUGUGAGUGGAUUUGGAUCCUCCUCUCCACUGCUUCGACUCGUGUUCUCCUCAAUGGCACCCCCGGACCGCCGAUCGCUCAUGCCCAAGGGCUGCGCCAGGGUGACCCGGUGUCCCCCAUGCUGUUCACCCUGGUGAUUGACAAGCUUAACUCGCUCCUCGAGCAUGCCACGAACCAAGGAAUCCUCCAGCGGCUGACCACGCGCCACGCCGCAUCCAGCAUAUCCAUGUUCGCCGACGACGUGGUCAUCUUCUGCCACCCCGACACCCAUGAGCUCUCCGCCAUCAGAAUGCUGCUCGACACUUUUGGCAACGCCUCCGGUCUUCGAACCAACUUCCUCAAGUGUUCCGCUUCACCCAUCAGAUGCGGCGACAACCACCGCGACACCAUUGGCGCCUCCCUCUCCUGCCCGCUGGCGGAAUUUCCCAUCAAAUACCUAGGGCUACCGCUCUCAACUCGCAAAGUGCCGGCCUCCGCCCUCCUUCCGCUUGUUGACAAGCUUACCAUGAAGCUCGCAACCUGCAAAGCCUCUCUGCUAUCCCGUGGCCAGCGGCUUGCUCUUGUCAGACAUGUCCUCACCGCCAUGCCUGUGCAUAUCCUGUUAGCGCUAGCGCUACACCCAGCGACCCUCAAGAAGGUCAUCAGGCUCAUUCGAGAUUUCCUUUGGCACGGCAACAAGGAUGCCCAUGCUGGUUGCUGCAUCGUCUCUUGGCAAAAGGUAUGCCGUCCCCUCGCGCUUGGUGGACUGGGGAUCCGCGAUCUGCACCGUACUGGCGUCGCCCUCCGCACCAGGUGGCUAUGGCUGCAGCGAACCGACCCUGACCGCUCCUGGAAGCAUCUCCACCUCCCGACCGAUCACGAGGCCUCUGUGCUCUUCCGUGCUUCCACGACCUGGACCAUCGGCAAUGGCAACACCUGCAAGUUCUGGCAGGAUCACUGGCUCAACGGGCACUCCAUCCCCGAGAUUGCUCCUACGCUUUCUGCCCUCAUUCCGAGGCGCCGCCGAAGCCAACGCCUUGUCAGCGACGCUCUCAACAACAGAGGCUGGAUCGCCGACAUCCAAGGCACCUUACACCCCUGCGCGGUCAUCGAAUAUGUCGAGCUAUGGAGGCUGCUCCAAACUAUCCAGCUCUCCAACGAACCCGACAAGCUCUCCUGGAAAUGGACGGCCGAUGGGAGCUACUCCGCGCGUUCAGCCUACCACGCGUUGUUCAUCGGCGCCACCACCGCACCAUUCUGGCGCCCCAUCUGGAAGACUUGGGCUCCUUCCAAUGCGAAGAUCUUCCUCUGGCUUGCCUCUCUCAACAGAUGCUGGACCGCCGACCGGAGAGCGCGCCACAACCUUCCUCAUGACCCCAUUUGCAAGCUGUGCAGCCAAGACAACGAGACACUGCACCACCUCCUCGUCGGCUGCGUCUUCUCGCGCAUCAUUUGGCACGACAUCAUGGCAUGGUUCCGCAUUCCCGCCCUUCCCCUUGAUGGCGCUUCCAGCUUCUUCGACUGGUGGAUGGCAACGACGGCCAGCGUGCCAGCCUGCCUCCGCAAAGGGACGAACUCCAUCAUCAUCCUCACCUCUUGGGCACUUUGGAAGCAUCGCAACGCAGCUCUCUUCGACAAUGUUGCACCCUCCUACAACAAACUUGUCGAGGACAUAAAACAGGAGGCGAAACUAUGGGCAAGAGCCGGCGCCAAAGGGCUCGGUAGGAUCAUUUCUGUAACAUAA
rnacentral:rRNA from 1 species